GACGUAGGGUCCGAGCGUUGUCCGGAUUUAUUGGGCGUAAAGAGCGUGUAGGCGGCCAAGCAGGUCAGCUGUGAAAACUCGAGGCUCAACCUCGAGACGUCGGUUGAAACCGCUUGGCUAGAGUCCGGAAGAGGAGAGUGGAAUUCCCGGUGUAGCGGUGAAAUGCGCAGAUAUCGGGAAGAACACCCGUGGCGAAGGCGGCUCUCUGGGACGGUACUGACGCUGAGACGCGAAAGCGUGGGGAGCGAACAGG
rnacentral:rRNA from 1 species